GCGGACAUAGCUCAGUUGGUAGAGCCCCAGCCUUCCAAGCUGGUCGCAGGGGUUCGAUUCCCCUUGUCCGCCCCA
rnacentral:tRNA from 1 species